UACAGAGGGGGCAAGCGUUAUUCGGAAUUAUUGGGCGUAAAGAGCGUGUAGGCGGCCAUGUAGGUCCGGUGUGAAAACUCGAGGCUUAACCUCGAGAUGUCAUCGGAAACCAUUUGGCUAGAGUCCGGAAGAGGAGAGUGGAAUUCCUGGUGUAGCGGUGAAAUGCGCAGAUAUCAGGAGGAACACCAGCGGCGAAGGCGGCGCUCUGGGCUGGAACUGACGCUGAGGAGCGAAAGCGUGGGGAGCGAACAGG
rnacentral:rRNA from 1 species